rnacentral:rRNA from 1 species
AACGAACGCUGGCGGCAUGCCUAACACAUGCAAGUCGAACGAGACCUUCGGGUCUAGUGGCGCACGGGUGCGUAACGCGUGGGAACCUGCCCUUAGGUUCGGAAUAACUCCCCGAAAGGGGUGCUAAUACCGGAUAAUGUCUUCGGACCAAAGAUUUAUCGCCUUUGGAUGGGCCCGCGUUGGAUUAGCUAGUUGGUAGGGUAAAAGCCUACCAAGGCGACGAUCCAUAGCUGGUCUGAGAGGAUGAUCAGCCACACUGGGACUGAGACACGGCCCAGACUCCUACGGGAGGCAGCAGUGGGUAAUAUUGGACAAUGGGCGAAAGCCUGAUCCAGCAAGGCCGCGUGAGUGAUGAAGGCCUUGGGGUUGUAAAGCUCUUUUACCCGGGAUGAUAAUGACAGUACCGGGAGAAUAAGCUCCGGCUAACUCCGUG